UUUAUUAAAAUGUUUUGCUAAUCUUUUAGAAGCAUUUCCAUGUUCUACGUUUUUUUGUUUUCAUCAUGUUGUCUUCUUCUUCUCUCAGGAAAGAAUCGUCAGUUUCAGGGAAGGGAGGAAAUUUUGCCUAAAUCAUCAUCUCUUCUCUAUGUUUCUUUUUAAAUUUGGAAAGGAGGAAAUUAUAACCAAGAGUUGAAGAUGGCUGAUAAGAUUUAUUAAAAUGUUUUGCUAAUCUUUUAGAAGCAUUUCCAUGUUCUACGUUUUUUUGUUUUCAUCAUGUUGUCUUCUUCUUCUCUCAGGAAAGAAUCGUCAGGUUUGAGUAGAUCAGAUUUUACUAAGAAGCGAGAGAGAAACUCACAAUCACGGAAAUAUGUCCAUUGGUCAGCUAACGAAUGACGGCAACUGCCGCUGAGGAUUUUGCCGUUAAUCUCGGCAUAAAGUUGAUGCCUUAAUUUCCCACUACCUUUUUCACCGGGAGUCAUCACAACCAAAAAGCAUCAUUUUCAUCGGGAAUCGAACUAGUGAGUGGAUCCAACUCCUGCAGUGGGCAUUGGUAGCUCUCUCAUAUUCAACACAGUCAAACAAGAUUUUCACUAAAGCAAAAAAAAAAAAAAAAAAA